UUUCCGUAGGUGAACCUUCGGAAGGAUCAUUACCUAGUACCGCUAUGCAAAAGGGGACACCCCCGCUUGCAGGUAUUUACCACCCUUGACUUUGAGCACCUUUUCGUUUCCUCGGCAGGUUCGCCUGCCAGCAGAGGACCCUAUAAACACUUGUAGUUUGCAGUAUUUGUCUGAAAACAUACCAAUAAUCAAAACUUUCAACAAUGGAUCUCUUGGUUCUGGCAUCGAUGAAGAACGCAGC
rnacentral:misc_RNA from 1 species